rnacentral:tRNA from 1 species
UUAAUAAGCUUUUUAAGCAAUUGUUUUGAAAACAAUAGAUAGAAUAUAAUUAAUUCUAU